rnacentral:rRNA from 1 species
UACGGAGGGAGCUAGCGUUGUUCGGAUAUACUGGGCGUAAAGCGCACGUAGGCGGCGUCGUAAGUCAGGGGUGAAAUCCCGGGGCUCAACCCCGGAACUGCCCUUGAAACUGCAGUGCUAGAAUCUUGGAGAGGCGAGUGGAAUUCCGAGUGUAGAGGUGAAAUUCGUAGAUAUUCGGAAGAACACCAGUGGCGAAGGCGACUCGCUGGACAAGUAUUGACGCUGAGGUGCGAAAGCGUGGGGAGCAAACAGG